GGGCAUACGGGGCGCAGCAGUGGGGAAUAUUGGGCAAUGGGCGCAAGCCUGACCCAGCAACGCCGCGUGAAGGAAGAAGGCUUUCGGGUUGUAAACUUCUUUUAUUGAGGACGAAACAAAUGACGGUACUCAAUGAAUAAGCCACGGCUAACUACGUGCCAGCAGCCGCGGUAAUACGUAGGUGGCAAGCGUUAUCCGGAUUUACUGGGUGUAAAGGACGUGUAGGCGGGACUGCAAGUCCGAUGUGAAACCCAUGGGCUCAACCCAUGGCCCGCCUUUGAAACUGUAGUUCUUGAGUGAUGGCG
rnacentral:rRNA from 1 species